GACGAACGCUGGCGGCGUGCUUAACACAUGCAAGUCGAACGGAAAGGCCCUGCUUUUGUGGGGUGCUCGAGUGGCGAACGGGUGAGUAACACGUGAGUAACCUGCCCUUGACUUUGGGAUAACUCCAGGAAACUGGGGCUAAUACCGGAUAGGAGCUCCUGCUGCAUGGUGGGGGUUGGAAAGUUUCGGCGGUUGGGGAUGGACUCGCGGCUUAUCAGCUUGUUGGUGGGGUAGUGGCUUACCAAGGCUUUGACGGGUAGCCGGCCUGAGAGGGUGACCGGCGACAUUGGGACUGAGAUACGGCGCAGACUCCUACGGGAGGCAGCAGUGGGGAAUAUUGCGCAAUGGGCGGAAGCCUGAUGCAGCAACGCCGCGUGCGGGAUGACGGCCUUCGGGUUAAGAACCGCUUUCGCCUGUGACGAAGCGUGAGUGACGGUAAUGGGUAAAGAAGCACCGGCUAACUACGUG
rnacentral:rRNA from 1 species